GUCUAUGGCCAUGCCACCCUGAACAAGCCCGAUGUCUGAUCUCGGAGGCUAAGCAGGGUCGGGUCUGGUUAGUUCUUGGAUGGGAGACCACCUAGGAAGGCCAGCUGCUGUAGGCA
rnacentral:rRNA from 1 species